UUAAUAAAAAAUGCUAAAGUUGGAACAAUACAGAGAAGNUUAGCAUGUCAUCCUCUGCACAAGGAUGACACACAAAUUUGUGAAGCAUUCCAUAUUUUU
rnacentral:snRNA from 1 species